AUUGAACGCUGGCGGCAGGCCUAACACAUGCAAGUCGAACGAGUGGCGGACGGGUGAGUAAUACAUGGGAAACUACCUUGUGGAGGGGGAUAACUACGGGAACCUGUAGCUAAUACAGAAUACCAUCAGAUGUGCCCAAGUGGGAUUAGCUGGUUGGUGAGGUAAAGGCUCACAAAGCCGACGAUCCAUAGCUGGUCUGAGAGGAUGACAAGCCACACUGGGACUGAGACACGGCCCAGACUCCUACGGGAGGCAGCAGUGGGGAAUAUUGCGCAAUGGGGGCAACCCGGACGCAGCCAUGCCGCGUGAAUGAAGAAGGCCGUCGGGUUGUAAAGUACUUUCGGUAGUGAGGCGUUACCCACAGAAGAAGCACCGGCUAACUCCGUGCCAGCAGCCGCGGUAAUAC
rnacentral:rRNA from 1 species